GAAAACCCAAAGACUUUUGGAAAACCGUCGCAGAAAUCUCUGUAGUGAAGCCUUUGUGGCUGUGGUGUCCGCUGUAAAGAAGGUUCUGGAGAUUUCUACAGCUGUGAAGGUACCAAGGACACUUUCGUACCCGAGUGAGAUGCUGGUUCCAAGGACACUUUCGUACCCGAGUGAGAUGCUGACACGCUCGAGAGUAAUUUAGGAGAGGCGAGAAGAGAACGGGGAGGCAAGAGGAUCGCUGUUAAGUCGGGGAGGCAAGAGGAUCGCUGUUAAGUCAAGUGAAACUAAAUA